rnacentral:rRNA from 1 species
AAUCAACGCUGGCGGCGUGCCUAACACAUGCAAGUCGAACGAGAAAGGGGAGCAAUCCCUGAGUAAAGUGGCGACCGGGUGAGUAACACGUGACUAACCUACCUUCGAGUGGGGGAUAACUCCGGGAAACCGGGGCUAAUACCGCAUAACAUCUUCGGAUCGGAAGAACUGGAGAUCAAAGGAGCAAUUCGCUUGAAGAGGGAGUCGCGGCUGAUUAGCUUGUUGGCGGGGUAAUGGCCCACCAAGGCGAUGAUCGGUAUCCGGCCUGAGAGGGCGCACGGACACACUGGAACUGAAACACGGUCCAGACUCCUACGGGAGGCAGCAGUGGGGAAUUUUGCGCAAUGGGGGAAACCCUGACGCAGCAACGCCGCGUGGAGGAUGAAGUCCCUUGGGACGUAAACUCCUUUCGACCGGGACGAUGAUGACGGUACCGGUGGAAGAAGCCCCGGCUAACUUCGUGCCAGCAGCCGCGGUAAUACGAGGGGGGCAAGCGUUGUUCGGAAUUAUUGGGCGUAAAGGGCGCGUAGGCGGCGCGGUAAGUCACCAGUGAAAUCCCCGGGCUCAACUCGGGGCCUGCUGGCGAAACUGCCG